UACAGAGGGUGCAAGCGUUGUUCGGAAUCAUUGGGCGUAAAGGGUGCGUAGGUGGCCGGGUAAGUCUGACGUGAAAUCUCCAAGCUCAACUUGGAAACUGCGUCGGAUACUAUCCGGCUAGAGGAUCGGAGGGGAGACUGGAAUACUUGGUGUAGCAGUGAAAUGCGUAGAUAUCAAGUGGAACACCAGUGGCGAAGGCGAGUCUCUGGACGAUUCCUGACACUGAGGCACGAAAGCCAGGGGAGCAAACGGG
rnacentral:rRNA from 1 species